rnacentral:sRNA from 1 species
CUCCUCAGGUAUGGAAUAGAGCCCUGGAACUCCAUCUCCAACUGUAGCCAGGCCCUGUCCUACGACCUUACCACAGUGACCCUGGACCUGUACCGCAGCAGUGGCUACCGGGCCAGAGUCCGGGCUGUGGACGGCAGCCGGCACUCCAACUGGACCGUCACCAACACCCGCUUCUCUGUGGAUGAAGUGACUCUGACAGUUGGCAGUGUGAAGCUAGAGAUCCACAAUGGCUUCAUCCUCGGGGAGAUUCAGCCCCCCAGGCCCAAGAUGGCCCCUGCAAAUGACACAUAUGAAAGCAUCUUCAGUCACUUCCGAGAGUAUGAGAUUGCCAUUCGCAAGGUGCCAGGAAACUUCACG